rnacentral:rRNA from 1 species
GGGCCCGCACAAGCGGAGGAACAUGUGGUUUAAUUCGAUGAUACGCGAGGAACCUUACCCGGGUUUGAACGCGGCAGGACGUACGGUGAAAGCCGUAUUCCAGCGAUGGUCUGUCGCGAGGUGCUGCAUGGUUGUCGUCAGCUCGUGCCGUGAGGUGUCGGCUUAAGUGCCAUAACGAGCGCAACCCUUAUCGCCAGUUACCAGCGUGUAAAGACGGGAACUCUGGCGAGACUGCCGGCGUAAGCUGCGAGGAAGGUGGGGAUGACGUCAAAUCAGCACGGCCCUUAUAUCCGGGGCGACACACGUGUUACAAUGGCAGGGACAAAGAGCAGCUACCGUGCGAGCGGAAGCGAAUCUCCAAACCCUGUCUCAGUUCGGAUCGGAGUCUGCAACUCGACUCCGUGAAGCUGGAUUCGCUAGUAAUCGCGCAUCAGCCAUGGCGCGGUGAAUACG